AUUGCUCAAUGGCCGAANGCUGANCAGCGACGCCGCGUGGAGGAUGAAGUCCGUUAGGAUGUAAACUCCUUUUGCAGGGGAUGAAUGUCCCGCUUCUGGCGGGAUUGACCGUACCCUGCGAAUAAGGAUCGGCCAACUACGUGCCAGCAGCCGCGGUAAUACGUAGGAUCCGAGCGUUGUCCGGAAUUACUNGGGUGUAAAGGGCGUGUAGGUGGAUCUUUAAGUCGGUGGUGAAAUCCUGCAGCUUAACUGUAGAACUGCCUCCGAUACUGAAGGUCUUGAGUGCGGCAGAGGGAGAUGGAAUUCAUGGUGUAGCNGGUGAAAUGUGUAGAUAUCAUGAAGAACACCGGUUGCGAAGGCGGUCUCCUGGUCCGUAACUGACACUGAGGCGCGAAAGCGUGGGGAGCAAACAGGAUUAGAUACCCUGGUAGUCCACGCCCUAAACGAUGGGUACUCGGUGCUGGUCCCGUUCGGCACAUGCAAGGCAUGUGUCGAACGGGAUCAGUGCCAAAGCUAACGCAUUAAGUACCCCACCUGGGGAGUACGAUCGCAAGGUUGAAACUCAAAGGAAUUGACGGA
rnacentral:rRNA from 1 species